GGGAGCGCCUGAUCAUGUUGCGCAAAAAGCCCAAAUCGGGCUUUCAAAAAAAGAAAGAAAGAAAGGAAUGAAAAAGAAAGGAGGCAGAAUGAGGGGAAGCAGCUGAUGACUGCUUUCUUUCCAAAAGGUGAACUGAGUUUGCUUGUUAUGCACUACGUCCAAUUAAAGUUAACGUAGUCAACUCCAGACAGCUGCUGCUAAUGUAUGUAUGCUAAUGUUAAAUCUUUAGCUUAGUUUGUCAACCAGGCUGCUUGUUGCUGUAAGUAAAUUAUGGGCCAGGCCAGGUUAGCUAACGUCAGGUUGCCAACAUAAACCAGUUUCAGAAACAACCAGUGGUUCUGACACACCAGCAGUACUAGCAGCACUGGCCAGUCCUGGCUGCUGUUCUGGAGAUGAGGCUGAGACUGAGAGCAGAAAUGAGGAAAGACAAGAAAGUUCUGCACUUGAUGCAGAAGACAUGGCAGGGUGCGAGUCUGAUGAUGUGAGAGAAGUAUGGAUCAUGGUGGAGAGUUGAGGUUGAAAAUUGGCCUGAAGACAUUUAAAUCUCUGUGAUCUCACACUUGACCCAAACACCGUAAACAGAAACCUCUCUCUGUCUGAGGAGAACAAGGAGGUGACAAGGAGGUGACAA